rnacentral:hammerhead_ribozyme from 1 species
AUCUAUCUGACGAGUCCCAAAUAGGACGAAACGCGUGUCCACUAGAU